rnacentral:rRNA from 1 species
CCUACGGGAGGCAGCAGUGAGGAAUAUUGGUCAAUGGACGAGAGUCUGAACCAGCCAAGCAGCGUGAAGGCUGACUGCCCUAUGGGUUGUAAACUUCUUUUACAUGGGAAUAAAAUGUUCCACGUGUGGGAUUUUGUAUGUACCAUAUGAAUAAGGAUCGGCUAACUCCGUGCCAGCAGCCGCGGUAAUACGGAGGAUCCGAGCGUUAUCCGGAUUUAUUGGGUUUAAAGGGAGCGUAGGUGGCUUGUUAAGUCAGUUGUGAAAGUUUGGGGCUCAACCGUAGAAUUGCAGUUGAAACUGGCAGUCUUGAGUACAGUAGAGGUGGGCGGAAUUCGUGGUGUAGCGGUGAAAUGCUUAGAUAUCACGAAGAACGCCGAUUGCGAAGGCAGUUCACUGGACUGCAACUGACACUGAGGCUCGAAAGUGUGGGUAUCAAACAGGAUUAGAUACCCGGGUAGUC